GCUCCAAUAGCGUAUAUUAAAGUUGUUGCAGUUAAAAAGCUCGUAGUUGGAUUUGUGGUGUAUGUUGGCGGCCUGUCACUAUGUGUCGGAGCUUGCUAACGUCGCCAUCCUUGGGUGGAUCCUGUGUGGCAUUAAGUUGUCGUGCAGGGGAUGCCAUCUUUUACUGUGAGUUAAUUAGAGUGUUCAAAGCAGGCUUAUGC
rnacentral:rRNA from 1 species